rnacentral:sRNA from 1 species
GCGAGGUCUUCUUUUGAUAGGUGGUCU